rnacentral:tRNA from 1 species
GGGCCCGUAGCUCAGCCAGGAUAGAGCGGCGGCCUCCUAAGCCGUAGGUCGUGGGUUCGAAUCCCACCGGGCCCG